rnacentral:rRNA from 1 species
ACAACUUUCAACAACGGAUCUCUUGGUUCUGGCAUCGAUGAAGAACGCAGCGAAAUGCGAUAAGUAGUGUGAAUUGCAGAAUUCAGUGAAUCAUCGAAUCUUUGAACGCACAUUGCGCCCCUUGGUAUUCCAUGGGGCAUGCCUGUUAGAGCGUCAUUU